GACGAACGCUGGCGGCGUGCUUAACACAUGCAAGUCGAACGGAAAGGCCCUGCUUUUGUGGGGUGCUCGAGUGGCGAACGGGUGAGUAACACGUGAGUAACCUGCCCUUGCCUUUGGGAUAUCUCCAGGAAACUGGGGCUAUUACCGGAUAUGAGCUCCUGCUGCAUGGUGGGGGUUGGAAGGUUUCGGCGGUUGGGGAUGGACUCGGGGCUUAUCAGCUUGGUGGUGGGGUAGUGUCUUACCAUGGCUUUGACGGGUAGCCGGCCUGAGAGGGUGACCGGGCGAAUUGGGACUGAGUUACGGCCCAGACAGCAACGGGGGACAGUGGUGGGGAGGAGUACGCAAUGGGCGGAGGCGUGACGUGGCAACGCGGCGUGCUGGAUGACGGCAUUCGGGUUGUAAACGGCUUAGGCGUGAGAGGGAGCGGGAGUGACGGUAAUGGGUAAAGAAGCACCGGCUAACUACGUG
rnacentral:rRNA from 1 species